AUUGAACGCUAGCGGGAUGCCUUACACAUGCAAGUCGAACGGAGUGUCGAACGGGUGAGUAAUGUCUCGGAACGUGCCCAGUAGCGGGGGAUAACUACGCGAAAGCGUAGCUAAUACCACAUGCUAGUGGAGCGGCUGAUAGCGUAUUAGCUGGUUGGUGGGGUAACGGCUCACCAAGGCGACGAUCCGAAGGUGGCUUGAGAGGACGACCAGCCAAACUGGGACUGAGACACGGCCCAGACUCCUACGGGAGGCAGCAGUGGGUAAUUUUGGACAAUGGGGGAAACCCUGAUCCAGCAAUCCCGCGUGAGGGAUGAAGGCUUUCGGGUUGUAAAGCACUUUUGGUAGGAAAGCGGUACCUGCCGAAAAAGCACCGGCUAACUACGUGCCAGCCGCCGCGGUAAUU
rnacentral:rRNA from 1 species